rnacentral:rRNA from 1 species
GAUGAACGCUGGCGGCGUGCCUAAUACAUGCAAGUCGAGCGAAUGGAUUAAGAGCUUGCUCUUAUGAAGUUAGCGGCGGACGGGUGAGUAACACGUGGGUAACCUGCCCAUAAGACUGGGAUAACUCCGGGAAACCGGGGCUAACACCGGAUAACAUUUUGAACCGCAUGGUUCGAAAUUGAAAGGCGGCUUCGGCUGUCACUUAUGGAUGGACCCGCGUCGCUUUAGCUAGUUGGGGAGGUAACGGCUCACCAAGGCAACGAUGCGUAGCCGACCUGAGAGGGGGAUCGGCCACACUGGGACUGAGACACGGCCCAGACUCCUACGGGAGGCAGCAGUAGGGAAUCUUCCGCAAUGGACGAAAGUCUGACGGAGCAACGCCGCGUGAGUGAUGAAGGCUUUCGGGUCGUAAAACUCUGUUGUUAGGGAAGAACAAGUGCUAGUUGAAUAAGCUGGCACCUUGACGGUACCUAACCAGAAAGCCACGGCUAACUACGUGCCAGCAGCCGCCGUAA